GACGAACGCUGGCGGCGUGCCUAAUACAUGCAAGUCGAACGCUUCUUUCCUCCCGAGUGCUUGCACUCAAUUGGAAAGAGGAGUGGCGGACGGGUGAGUAACACGUGGGUAACCUACCCAUCAGAGGGGGAUAACACUUGGAAACAGGUGCUAAUACCGCAUAACAGUUUAUGCCGCAUGGCAUAAGAGUGAAAGGCGCUUUCGGGUGUCGCUGAUGGAUGGACCCGCGGUGCAUUAGCUAGUUGGUGAGGUAACGGCUCACCAAGGCCACGAUGCAUAGCCGACCUGAGAGGGUGAUCGGCCACACUGGGACUGAGACACGGCCCAGACUCCUACGGGAGGCAGCAGUAGGGAAUCUUCGGCAAUGGACGAAAGUCUGACCGAGCAACGCCGCGUGAGUGAAGAAGGUUUUCGGAUCGUAAAACUCUGUUGUUAGAGAAGAACAAGGACGUUAGUAACUGAACGUCCCCUGACGGUAUCUAACCAGAAAGACACGGCUAACUACGUG
rnacentral:rRNA from 1 species